AGCAGCCGCGGUAAUUCCAGCUCCAAUAGCGUAUAUUAAAGUUGUUGCAGUUAAAAAGCUCGUAGUUGAAUUUCGGGAUCAGAUUGUCGGUCGUGCCUCGGUACGCACUGGCAUUAUUGGUUCCUACCUUCUGAAGAACCGCGAUGUCAUUAAUUUGGUGUUGUGGGGAAUCAGGACUGUUACUUUGAAAAAAUUAGAGUGUUUAAAGCAGGCGCACGCUUGAAUACAUUAGCAUGGAAUAAUGAAAUAGGACGUUUGAUUCUAUUUUGUUGGUUUCUAGGAUCGACGUAAUGAUUAAUAGGGAUAGUUGGGGGCAUUAGUAUUCAAUUGUCAGAGGUGAAAUUCUUGGAUUUAUUGAAGACUAACUACUGCGAAAGCAUUUGCCAAGGAUGUUUUCAUUAAUCAAGAACGAAAGUUAGGGGAUCGAAGACGAUCAGAUACCGUCGUAGU
rnacentral:rRNA from 1 species